rnacentral:snoRNA from 1 species
GUUGAGGUCUGUCCUGCAUGGGGCUUUUUCUGUAAACCUACAUCGCUGAAAACGCCUCGUAGAGAACUAUGUGGUUUCCUUUACUCAUAGACUACGUGUUAGAUCUGUGGGGAAGAACUACAAGACAGGC